rnacentral:rRNA from 1 species
UACGUAGGGGGCAAGCGUUAUCCGGAUUUACUGGGUGUAAAGGGGGCGCAGACGGCGAUGCAAGCCAGGAGUGAAAGCCCGUGGCCCAACCCCGGGACUGCUCUUGGAACUGCGUGGCUGGAGUGCAGGAGGGGCAGGCGGAAUUCCUGGUGUAGCGGUGAAAUGCGUAGAUAUCAGGAGGAACACCGGUGGCGAAGGCGGCCUGCUGGACUGCAACUGACGUUGAGGCUCGAAAGCGUGGGGAGCAAACAGG